rnacentral:rRNA from 2 species
UUAGAGUUUGAUCAUGGCUCAGGAUGAACGCUGGCGGCGUGCUUAACACAUGCAAGUCGAACGAACCUUCGGGUUAGUGGCGGACGGGUGAGUAACGCGUGGGAAUCUGCCCUCAGGAGGGGGAUAACGGCUGGAAACGGCCGCUAAUACCCCAUAUGCCGAGAGGUGAAAUGAAUUUCGCCUGAGGAUGAGCCCGCGUCUGAUUAGCUUGUUGGUGAGGUAAUGGCUCACCAAGGCUUCGAUCAGUAGCUGGUCUGAGAGGAUGAUCAGCCACACUGGGACUGAGACACGGCCCAGACUCCUACGGGAGGCAGCAGUGGGGAAUUUUCCGCAAUGGGCGAAAGCCUGACGGAGCAACGCCGCGUGAGGGAUGAAGGCCUCUGGGCUGUAAACCUCUUUUCUCAAGGAAGAAGAUCUGACGGUACUUGAGGAAUAAGCCACGGCUAAUUCCGUGCCAGCAGCCGCGGUAAUACGGGAGUGGCAAGCGUUAUCCGGAAUUAUUGGGCGUAAAGCGUCCGCAGGCGGCCCUUCAAGUCUGCUGUUAAAGCGUGGAGCUUAACUCCAUCAUGGCAGUGGAAACUGUUGGGCUUGAGUGUGGUAGGGGCAGAGGGAAUUCCCGGUGUAGCGGUGAAAUGCGUAGAUAUCGGGAAGAACACCAGUGGCGAAGGCGCUCUGCUGGGCCAUCACUGACGCUCAUGGACGAAAGCCAGGGGAGCGAAAGGGAUUAGAUACCCCUGUAGUCCUGGCCGUAAACGAUGAACACUAGGUGUCGGGGGAAUCGACCCCCUCGGUGUCGUAGCCAACGCGUUAAGUGUUCCGCCUGGGGAGUACGCACGCAAGUGUGAAACUCAAAGGAAUUGACGGGGGCCCGCACAAGCGGUGGAGUAUGUGGUUUAAUUCGAUGCAACGCGAAGAACCUUACCAGGGUUUGACAUCCUGCGAACCUCUUGGAAACAGGAGGGUGCCUUCGGGAACGCAGUGACAGGUGGUGCAUGGCUGUCGUCAGCUCGUGUCGUGAGAUGUUGGGUUAAGUCCCGCAACGAGCGCAACCCACGUCUUUAGUUGCCAGCAUUUAGUUGGGCACUCUAGAGAGACCGCCGGUGAUAAACCGGAGGAAGGUGUGGAUGACGUCAAGUCAUCAUGCCCCUUACACCCUGGGCUACACACGUACUACAAUGCUACGGACAAAGGGCAGCAAACUCGCGAGAGCUAGCAAAUCCCAUAAACCGUGGCUCAGUUCAGAUCGUAGGCUGCAACUCGCCUACGUGAAGUAGGAAUCGCUAGUAAUCGCAGGUCAGCAUACUGCGGUGAAUACGUUCCCGGGCCUUGUACACACCGCCCGU